rnacentral:rRNA from 1 species
AAUGAACGCUAGCGGCAGGCUUAAUACAUGCAAGUCGAGGGACAGCACAGGUAGCAAUACUGGGUGGUAACCGGCAAACGGGUGCGGAACACGUACACAACCUUCCUUUAAGUGGGGGAUAGCCCAGAGAAAUUUGGAUUAAUACCCCGUAAUAUAGUUGAAUGGCAUCAUUUGAUUAUUAUAGCUACGGCGCUUAAUGAUGGGUGUGCGGCUGAUUAGAUAGUUGGCGGGGUAACGGCCCACCAAGUCUACGAUCAGUAGCUGAUGUGAGGGAAUGAUCAGCCACACGGGCACUGAGACACGGGCCCGACACCUACGGGAGGCAGCAGUAAGGAAUAUUGGUCAAUGGACGCAAGUCUGAACCAGCCAUGCCGCGUGAAGGAUUAAGGUCCUCUGGAUUGUAAACUUCUUUUAUUUGGGACGAAAAAGGGCCUUUCUAGGUCAACUGACGGUACCAGAUGAAUAAGCACCGGCUAACUCCGUGCCAGCAGCCGCGGCAACAC